rnacentral:rRNA from 1 species
AGAGUUUGAUCAUGGCUCAGAACGAACGCUGGCGGCAGGCUUAACACAUGCAAGUCGAACGGAUGUAGCAAUACAUUAGUGGCGCACGGGUGAGUAACGCGUGGGAACGUACCCUUAGAUACGGGACAACCUCGGGAAACUGAGGCUAAUACCGUAUAAUGUCUUCGGACCAAAGAUUUAUCGUCUAAGGAUCGGCCCGCGUUGGAUUAGGUAGUUGGUGAGGUAAAGGCUCACCAAGCCGACGAUCUAUAGCUGGUCUGAGAGGAUGAUCAGCCACACUGGGACUGAGACACGGCCCAGACUCCUACGGGAGGCAGCAGUGAGGAAUAUUGGACAAUGGAGGAAACUCUGAUCCAGCCAUGCCGCGUGAGUGAAGAAGGCCUUCGGGUUGUAAAGCUCUUUUGUCCCUGACGAUAAUGACGGUAAGGGAAGAAAAAGCCACGGCUAACUUCGUG